CCUACGGGUGGCUGCAGUGAGGAAUAUUGGUCAAUGGACGAGAGUCUGAACCAGCCAAGUAGCGUGAAGGAUGACUGCCCUAUGGGUUGUAAACUUCUUUUAUAUGGGAAUAAAAUGUUCCAUGUGUGGUAUUUUGUAUGUACCAUAUGAAUAAGGAUCGGCUAACUCCGUGCCAGCAGCCGCGGUAAUACGGAGGAUCCGAGCGUUAUCCGGAUUUAUUGGGUUUAAAGGGAGCGUAGGUGGACUGUUAAGUCAGUUGUGAAAGUUUGCGGCUCAACCGUAAAAUUGCAGUUGAAACUGGUUGUCUUGAGUACAGCAGAGGUGGGCGGAAUUCGUGGUGUAGCGGUGAAAUGCUUAGAUAUCACGAAGAACUCCGAUUGCGAAGGCAGCUUACUGGACUGCAACUGACACUGAUGCUCGAAAGUGUGGGUAUCAAACAGGAUUAGAUACCCUUGUAGUC
rnacentral:rRNA from 1 species